CUCUUACUCCCUUCGUCCGGAAAUACUUGUCAUCGAAAUGGAUAAAAGAGAAUGUAUAUAGAUGUAUUUUAGUUUUAAAUACAUUUUUUUUUAUCAAUUUUGAUGACAAGUAUUUUCGGACGGAGAGAGUACUUC
rfam:Triticum urartu cultivar G1812 contig471130, whole genome shotgun sequence.